GUCCUUCGGCAUUCUAAAGUUACAUUGUUUCGCAAAAAUCUGUAUCUGUAGCGCCCUGUUCAUACAGCGGAAGAACACUGUUGCCAUUUCUUAUUUCCCCUCUGUUGAAGCCCUGCAACCGACAAUACUCCAAGUUUUUCUUUCUUUUAACCAAGUUACUUGUUUUUUUCGUAUUAAUUUCUUCUGUUUCGUUUUGUUUCUUGGAUGCGCUGGUUUUGUGUCCAUGUUUGAAUGUAAACAUUGUCGACAGAUGUAAAUCAUGGCAUAACAAUGAAACCCAUUUGUUCAGAUCCUCUCUUUCACGUUGCUUCUUCACCUUUUCACGUUUCAACUUCGAGCUAUCUUCAACGGAGAGAGAGGAGUUUGGGGAAUUUUGUUUCUAAAAUAGAUGAUUAGUGGGCAUUCCAUGUGGGAUUUGGUUUGUGGGUCUCACUUGGUUAUGGCAAUGUUUUUGUUCUGGAAAAAUGCUUGUGGUUAUAGAUUUAGCUGGUUCUCUAUCUGGCGCAGAAAGAAGAGAUUCUUUCUUCCAGGUUUUCAUUUUUGGUUUGGGAACUUCUGGUUGGUAAUAAAGGUUUUUUAGUUGCUUGAAUUCUUGAGGCCAGAUGGCUUUCUCUUUUUCUUGUUUUCAUGGUGAACUGAAGAGACUAUUUGUGUAUCAUUGCAAGUUCAUGUUUGUGUGUCUGUGCACGAAUGUUGCCUUAUUGUUGGUGUUCUUGGAUACUAUUCUCUUAGACAUGAUGAAAAUGGCAGGCUGCAGUUAUCACUCUGCCUAUGUUCUCUGUUCCCAAUACUUUCAUUGUUCUGUUAUGUGCUUUGAAUUUCUUUUCAAUGCAUUUUAUGCUGAUUGGAGUUAAACUUUGACACUAUGGGGAUUUUGAUUCAUUUUCCGUGUCAUAGCCACAUGUUAAUAAUAUAGCCUUUGAAAUGGUUGUGCUUCCAUGUCAUACUCUAAUUACUCAUUCAUGUACUCUUUAAUUUUCUUUCUUUGUUUUAAAUGUCAGUGAAUCAUAACAAGUCCAAGAGUUCUGUCAUAGUGUGUAGGUGAUUUCUGCUUCUAUUCCUUGCUGUUGUUAUUGAUUUUUUGCACCUACGUUUCUUCUUGGUCUAUAUUGUUUUGGCAGAUGGAAUCAGACUAUCUAGAUUGUAAUGACAAUUUUGCAGGAAAAGAAUCUCUUCAUGACUUAUUUCCUCAAGAUUCUUCUCAUAAAAGUGACUUACAUGGAGAUCCACGUGUGAAUCCCGAAAUUGGAGAAGAAUUCCAAGUGAAUAUUCCUCCCAUGAUAACUGGAACCAGUUUAUUCAACUGUUAAUGAACCCUGCUGAUUCAAAUGUCACGUUAGAUGUUUCUCAUGCCUUUCUAAAUGGGUUUGCCCAUUCCAAUUGUGUGGGUCAAUGAUGAAGUAAAUAAUACUAAUGAUGCAGCUCGUAAAGAUGAGUCUUUCAAAUGUAAAAAGAGCAAAAUGGGUCAAAUUAAUAUAGGUAGGGGAGGUCCAGAACUCAAUAUUCUGGACUUCUGUGUUAGAUUGAAAGUCAGCAAAGAAUCAAAACCAGAGAACUUUAGAAGCAAGGAUUGCAGGAAGAACUGACUUGGAUAGACUUUGUAAAUGCACUAGUUAUUCUCCAGUUCCUGGUAUGCUAGGAGACUCUUGGAGCUGUGCUGAAAAGGAUAAUUUUCUUCUUUGUUUAUGUAUAUUCAGCAAAAACCUUUUUCAGAUAAAGAGAUUUAUUGAGACCAAAGAGAUGGGAGAGAUUUUAUCAUGUUACUAUGGGGAAUUUUAUAGGUCUAAUGAACACCUUAGGCGGUUAGAUUGCCGGAAACCAAGAAGUAGGGAGUGUGUAUACAGGAGGAAAAUUUUUAGUGGGUGGAGGCAACAAGAAUUGGUAUCUCGUUUGCUUCCCCGUGUUCCAGAGGCAUCUCAUAAUUCUUUGCCUGUGGUACUGCAUUAGUGUUUAUGUGAGAUAUUAUUGUGUUCCUAUUCAGUAGUGAUAUGUCUUGUCACAUUGAAGUAUCUACUAUCUUUUUUUCUCUUCUUUUUUCAGAUGAGUUGAAAAAGAUGCCUUCUAAUCUGUCACAUAUGUGUAGAAUAACAAUCUUUGUUCUGUUUUAGUUCUAAAUUGAAGCUACAAUUCUUCUCUCUUUAUUUUUACAACCCUGCUCUAAAAUUCUUGCUAGGUGGUUUAUCAUUAUAUUGGAAUUAUAAAUUACUAAAAUUGAUUGAAAAAUAGGACAGCUGCAAUAGCGAAAUUUGUAAUGUGAUGCAAUAGGUUACAAAAACAUUGUAAACUUCCCACUUGUUAACUAAAACUCUUUUACAUAUAUUUCACUCCUUAAAGCUGACUCUGGGAAGAAAUUUUAUCAAUAGGAAAAAUCUGCAUUAAGAAUGUAACAUUGGUGAGGAAAGAAUUUUAUGAAUGCUAGGGAAGUAAUAUGAUUUUACAGUCAUUAUUGCUCCUGUUUAUGUUAACAGUUAAAAUUACUUGUUCUUGUUUUGACAUCGUUUUUCUAUUUCCAAUCUCUAUUUUAGUUCUGAUCUCUCCCAAGUAAUUAGCAGAGGGAAGAACUUAACUCGACAUCUAUGUCUCCUAUUUGAAGGCCACUGUUGGACUUAGUGCUGUUGUAGAAUCUAUAGCCAUUGGUAAGGGGAAGGAGGAUCUCACAAGCCUUUCCAUGGAGCCUGUGAAGAUCAAUCAAGUGUUUCCUGUUUGUCCCAAAAUUCCAUGUGGCAAAGCUUGCUCCUCACUUAUAUCCAGUGACAUAAUCAAGAUUCUAAAUGGAGGCUUCAGAUUAAGCAAGGCUUGAUGUAAUGAUAUUUUCUGGGAAGCUGUUUGGCCACGUUUGCCAGCUAGAGGAUGGCACUCUGAGCAACCCAAGAAUCAUGUUACAUCACUUCCAAAGAUUAUCUGGUUUUUCUUAUGCCUGGAAUCAAGAAGUUCUCAAGAAGGAAACUUGUCAAAGGAGAGCACUACUUUGAUUCAGUUGGUGAUAUUUUCAACAAAGUGGCUUCUGAACCUUGAACUUGAAGAUGAAGAAUCUAGUGUCAGCAGCUACAAUGGCGAAGACCAGUGGGUUGCAGAAGAUUUAUCUGAUCAGGAUGAUCCAUCAGGUCAUAAACCCCACUGUUACCUAAAACCUUGUAGCUCUAGUUACAAUUCAGACCAUAUGAAGCUCAUGGUUGUAGAUUCCAGCUUGGUCCAUUGAGGAAAAUCAUCCAGGGUGAGAGAAUUGAGAAUUUUUUUUCCUGCUGAUUUUAAGGGUUCUUCCAAAAUGACUGCUAUUUCAGGAGAAAAUAAUGGGUACUUUGAGAAUUCCCUGGAUGAGCAUAAGCUUGCUGCUGCUAAUAUACCAUUGAACAUAGAGAAGAAAACAGGUAUUUCUGAGCUUAGCAAGGUUAAAUUUGGUACUGUCAGUUGAAACAGUAUGAGGUGCAUGGUUGUGGACGUAUAUACAAUGGAAGUUGUUUUGACAAGGAGGUGUCUCUGGUGAAAAAUGAGAACAAUCAUAUUCCUAUAUCAAUUGAUUUAAACCUUUCUCAGAUUAUUCUGCUGGACUCUGGAAAUUGUGAACUAGUAACGAGGGAGGUGGAAGACAGUCAAGGUACAAACGCAAAUGGUUUAUUCUUAUACGAGAACAAGCAUAAUCCUGAGGCACAGAAAAUCUCUUUUGGUGUUGAGUCCAGUAGACAAAGCACUAGAAACUGAGCAUUGACUGCUAAAGCAUUGGAAGCCCGCGCUUGUGGGUUCUUGAGCAUUAAUUAGAAAGAGAAAAGCAAAGAUUUUCACAGACAAAAAGUCUCAUUCUCAAGACCUUCCCACAGGGCUCGUAGCAGAGUCAAGGGAACAUCCAAUCACAUUACUUCUGGCACAGUAAUUGCAGAUUUGAAAAAAGAGGAAGUGAAUGAGACUUUUGUUGUAAACAAAGAUAUCACCAGUAAACCUAUGGGCCAAUUUGAAGGGAAGAGUCUCCCUAUCUACUAGUAAUUUCUAAAGCUGCUUAUUAGAUGGUUUGUCCUUUGAAGAUCAUGCAUUGAGCUUGACGCAGUAUACUGAUACUUUUGGAGCAAUCUUGAAGCAGCAAAAUUCUUUUAGAAAGUUUUCCUGCCUGUAUUUACUGCCAACCAAGAGAUACUGAUAUGCGGCAAUCUAAUUAAUGCUUUCACCUAGUGUGCUACAGAAGACAACUUGCUCUUUAAACAUAUG